GUGCCCUAUGAUAGCAAUAACAUUGCAAUGACAACCUUGCAUUAUAAUUUCCCUGCUUAUAGAUUUUUUUUCUCCAUUAAAUGGUGGGUUCCUGCUCAUAUUUUUAUCUCCAGUACUUUCCCAAAUAUUGGAUGGUAAGUGGCACUCAAUGUACAUUUGUUGAAUAAACGAGUAGUAAUCUUAUAAGUAAUAACUGGCUUGUUAUUUGGUUAAUGAACUGAUGUGGCUUUGUAAUGUGUCAACUUGGGUAGGCUGAACUGUGUUUAUAAGAUUUCUUUUAUCUGAACUUUUCUGUUAGGAUGAUUCUUGAGGAACGUAUCUGCAUAAGAUUUAGAGGGCAGAGGUCAUGUUAUUGGUUAAUGCUUAAAUGUUGAGGCAAGAUUAUCAGAUGCAAACUCACAAACAUAUUUACUUAUUUGGUGCUCACUUCCUCGUGUGGGGAGGCAGCCAGGACUAUAACUGCUUCACCUGUGCCUGGAUCUGCUUUGAGUUUUUCCAUCUGGCUCACCAACUUCUGUGUUUAACUCCAUCAGAAAGGGUGUCCCAAGGCAUAAUUCUAUCUUCAAGUUCAAAAGCAUCGAGAAAUGAUAGUAGAUCCAGUCUGUCUUUGUGGAUUCCAGCUUCCUUGUGUGUUCUAUCUGGUCCCUCACUGUGUAGCCAUCUUGCCUCCUGACAGCCUGCCCUGUGGACUUCAAGCCCUAGCACCAGAUGCACAGACAACAGUUUUACUGAAAAUGCCCAACCGGCAUGACUGGGUCAGGUCAAAUUUCUGUAACAAGUCCCUUUAUGAACACAUACACAUGCUUCCAGACAUACAUCUAAGUAUAUGUGUACUUGUACUUCCCACUGGUUCUACUUGUCUGAUUGAACCCUAGUAGAUGCAGCUGGCCUGUGAGACCUUGGAGAUAAGUUGCCUACAUGCAUUUCUCCGUGUACAUGUACAUGUGCUUAUGUGGGCAUGAAUGUGUGUGUACAUGACAUGCAAAGGCACUGUUGGUUCAAGUAAUUCUCAUUAUUGAAACAAACAUCCUUAAAACAAACCUCUCAUCAACUUGGACAUAAUAACAUUUUUUUUCCUGCUCUAUAAAUUCUAGUGUGUGCAUCCCUGAAUAUUGAGGAAAGUACAUUUUUUUUCUUUUUUCUUUUUGUAACUUAUUUAGAAACUCAGACUAAGAAGAUUGUGCCAUUUUCAAGAUGUGGCUUCUGAUAUCUUUCUGGGCAAGAACAUUAGACCAGCAGAUGGGAGAAGAGAGAAGAUGGAGGAUUCCUACCUACUUCUUAACCACCUUAGGUUAGAAAUGACACUUACUGUUCUGCUUCUAAUCCACUGGCAAGAACUACUUCUAUCACAUCCCUUAGAAGCAUGAGGCGGUGCUGGAAAAUGGCAUCGUAGCUGGGACAGUCCUUUCCCAGCUAGAACUGCAUCACGGAAGGGGAGCCCAAGUGUUGGGGCAACAGCUGCUAUCACUCCCACACAGACUCUUAUGUAAAACAAUGUUGAUUGAAUCAGAAAAAAAAACUCAAUAAUCUUGUUUGUUAAAUUUUAGCCUGGUGUACAGUUUGCUUGGAGGAAAAAAGAGAAAGAGAGUCAGUCUGUGGGGAGCCAGAGAGGAGAUCCUUCCAACUUCAGGAUGGAGUGUCCUAUUGUAUCCUGAGGCAAAUGGAAGCAAACAAAGCUUGCAGCCACUUUAGGAAAUCUGGCCCUUGGAGAGCAAGCUAAAAUUGAAAAAUCCAUUUGAAAAUAUGGUGUUAAUUUCCAACAGCAUUAACAUUCCAGUUGCAUCUGAAUAUGUCUUAAGGCCAGCUCCGGAUGCACUGGCCCCACUACAGUUUGAUCUCUCAUUUGGAGCUGGCCAGCUGCAAGUAGCCAUCACUGGUCAGGAAUAAGUGGCCAUGUACCAGGUUUUAGCACAUUUUUCUGAACAAGUUGCUUGGCUGGGUGUUCAGGCCUUUCUCCUUCUGUCUCUCUGGGUUUGGCAGCAUUUAUGCAGAAGUCGAAGUCAACUUCUACUUGAAUCUAAUUCUGCAUUCUUUAAAUAUGCUUUAUAUUAAGUAUUUUCAGUUUCCUACAUAAAUAAGUGAUCAUAAAUUUGCAAUAUAGAAAGAAAACAACAUCUAAUUAGAACUCACAUAUGUUUAUGUUUUUUAUCCAUUUACUCAUUUGUAUAUAAAAUUGUUUUUCAUUCCAUUUUUUCCUGUUUUGAUUUUCCUGUUUUGGCAUUUUUCCCUUAUGUUUUUUUUCUCGAGCUAAAAUCUUGUGAUCUAAUACAAAUCAAAAAGGCAAGAAUUACUAAGGACAGUGUAUAAUUCAACAAGCAGUAUAGUUGCUAAACAAAAUAUUUCUGUUAAGAAAAGAAUGACAUAUAUUAAUAGGAUAUAAUUUUGAUGUAAAUCCUUAUACCUAAGCUAAAUAAACCUACACUCCUAGUAAAGGUAAUGCUUAAUGGCUCCUCAUAUGGAAAAUACUUAAGAGUUCCAUAUGUCUGUAAAUACAAUGUAAGAAGGAAAAUGAGAUGGAUUUUCAAAAUAACCCUUAUAAAUUCAGAUUUUACUAACAAAAUGAUAGAAUUCCAAUUAUUGGAAAUGAAACAUUGUUGUUUUAACUGGUCACCAUCUAAUGUUUCAGAUUUAUAAGUGAAUAUGUUGUCUAUUUUAGGUGGUAUAGUUUGUUACAGAUUAACCCUUUCAAAAAUAACAAUUGACAGAUGGACAGAACACCUCCCAACACACACACACACACACACACACACACACACUUCUGUUUGAACACCCUGAAGUACUCUCUAGAUAGCCAUGAUUUGAGGUAUCAAGAACCCAGACAACACCCAUGCUCAACCUACAGGGAUUAGGGAAGGUCACCCCCAUAUCCUAUACUUCCAGAAACAUGGAUACCAGUGAAACACCCCAAACUUAAUCUGCAAAUGCCAUGAAAACCAAGAGAAGUUCUCCUUCAUAACCCAUAGACUUCAGUCCAUAGCUGCUGGUGCUAAAAGUGUUGGUACCAUUUAUGUUUGUUCCUUGGGAGCUGGAGAAGGUAUCAUCUGGUUCCUGCAGCUCUACAACAAGUAACAAUGCUCCAAUAUGUAUUUUUACUUUGGUGCAGAGGGUCUGUGGCAGAGUCGCACAUAGGGCACCAUGGCUACUGGUGAUAUACUCUUGGUGUCACCCGUGCUUGCCCUGAGGAAACUGAGGAUACUCUUCUACAUCCUGCCCCAUUAAGACUGUCAGUAGCAGGUACAAAUCCCAGUGUUAUUAAGGUUCAACUCUGUGGAACAUGAAGACAGACCUUUGGAGCCUAUAUCCACUACAAAUUCAUACAAUUACCUUCAUAAAUUGUUGUAACCUACACUACUGAGGCACGGAAAGACACUGCUGAUAUUAAUCCAGUUAAAAAUGUGCUAAAGAAUUAAUAGACACUAUUCAAAAGAAUGGUCAACAAGCACUUGAAAAAAUAUUAUUUCUCACUAAUCAUGAAGGAAAUGCUAAUCAAAAUCACUAUUAUGUAUAACUAAAAAGAACAAAAAUUUUAAAAAUUAAAAGAAAUAAUAAUGAGAUAUCAUCUCACUUGGGUUGGAAAUGGCUAUAAUCAAAAAGUCGAAAAUUACAAAAGCUGGUGAGGAUUCAGAGAAAGAAGAACUCAUACAUUGCAGGUGGGAAUGUAUAUCAGUACGACUAUUAUAUACUAUAUUUUGGAGAUUCCUCAAAAACCUAAAAAUAGAUCUACCAUAUAAUCCCUAAUCAAGGAUUAAGGAAGGUCAUCCCCAUAUCCUACUAAAAGGAUAUCUGCAUUCUCAUGUUUAUUAAACCUCACUAUUCACAGUAGCUAAAAUAUGGAAUCAACCUGGAUGCCCUUCAGUGGAUGAAUGAAUAAACAAAAUGUGGUAUGUAUAAACAAUGAGAUAUUUAUUAUUCAGUCAUAAAAAAGAAUGAAACCCUGUCAUUUGCAGCAAUGUGGAAGGAAAUAGAAGCUAUUAUGUUAAGAGAAAUAAAUCACACCUAAAAAGAUAAAUGCCAUAUGUUUUCUCUCUCUUAUGGAAAGCAAGUCAAUGUUAUAGAAGAACUGAAUGGAAUAGUUGUCACUAAGCAGUAGGUAGAGAGGAUGGAAAGACAUUCAAUAAAGGUACCAAAACACAGAGUGGAGAAAUUACUUCUGAUUCUUCCCUAGUAUAGUAGGGUGACUAUUUGUUAAGAUAACCCAUGAUAAAUUUCAAAAUGACUAAAAAAUAUAUGAAAUUCCAAAUACAUAAAUGAUUAAUGUUUGAAGAGAUUAAAAUAUUCAUUACCAUGAUAAGAUUGUUAUGUAUUGUAUACAUGCAUUUAAUUAC
rnacentral:lncRNA from 1 species